GAUGAACGCUGGCGGCGUGCCUAAUACAUGCAAGUCGAGCGAACUGAUUAGAAGCUUGCUUCUAUGACGUUAGCGGCGGACGGGUGAGUAACACGUGGGCAACCUGCCUGUAAGACUGGGAUAACUUCGGGAAACCGAAGCUAAUACCGGAUAGGAUCUUCUCCUUCAUGGGAGAUGAUUGAAAGAUGGUUUCGGCUAUCACUUACAGAUGGGCCCGCGGUGCAUUAGCUAGUUGGUGAGGUAACGGCUCACCAGGGCAACGAUGCAUAGCCGACCUGAGAGGGUGAUCGGCCACACUGGGACUGAGACACGGCCCAGACUCCUACGGGAGGCAGCAGUAGGGAAUCUUCCGCAAUGGACGAAAGUCUGACGGAGCAACGCCGCGUGAGUGAUGAAGGCUUUCGGGUCGUAAAACUCUGUUGUUAGGGAAGAACAAGUACAAGAGUAACUGCUUGUACCUUGACGGUACCUAACCAGAAAGCCACGGCUAACUACGUGCCAGCCGCCGCGGUAAAAC
rnacentral:rRNA from 1 species